rnacentral:rRNA from 1 species
AUUGAACGCUGGCGGCAUGCCUUACACAUGCAAGUCGAACGGCAGCGCGGACUUCGGUCUGGCGGCGAGUGGCGAACGGGUGAGUAAUACAUCGGAACGUACCCUGUUGUGGGGGAUAACUAGUCGAAAGAUUAGCUAAUACCGCAUACGACCUGAGGGUGCAAGUGGGGGACCGGAAACGGCCUCAUGCAGCAGGAGCGGCCGAUGUCUGAUUAGCUAGUUUGUGGGGUAAAGGCCCACCAAGGCGACGAUCAGUAGCUGGUCUGAGAGGACGAUCAGCCACACUGGGACUGAGACACGGCCCAGACUCCUACGGGAGGCAGCAGUGGGGAAUGUUGGACAAGGGGGGCAACCCUGAUCCAGCAAUGCCGCGUGGGUGAAGAAGGCCUUCGGGUUGUAAAGCACUUUUGUCCGGAAAGAAAUCGCGCUGGUUAAUACCGGGCGUGGACGACGGUACCGGAAGAAUAAGCACCGGCUAACUACGUG